GUGAAAAUCAGAAUGCUCUGACCCAUGGAUUCUUGGGAGGUAACUGAUUAUGGAAUCCCUAGGAUGGAAAUAAAUGGGCAGUCACUAAGGUCCUAUUUGAUUUGUAUAGUAAACAAGCAAACAAAAAAAACCUUUGUGUCUAGAAAAGAGAGACAGUAUCCAACUUCCAAAUAUGAAUCAGUUCUCAGACACAGUUAAAGGAAAUCUGAGUACCCUUGAGGAAGUAUCUACUUGACUCUACCUCCUGGUAUGCAAAGGGACUUGUGGCCAUUUACUAGGACAGUUGUGAAUGAUGAAGCAGAAAUAUUUCGCUUUCAUCUGGUACAGACAAGAGUAUAGCUUUACCUUCUUGCCACAGGAUUACAUCCUUUUGGACUCUGGGUCACAAUUAAGUCAGCAGAAAGUGUCUUAUUUCCUUUAUCUUACAUAAUAUCAGAUUAUUCAUCCUAUACAGGUGGGGACAAAAGAGUAGAAAGCAAGAGAUACCUUGGAUACCAUGAAAAAAAUACAUGAGAACUCGAGUGGGAAUUUUUCAAGGGUCCAGUGGUAUACAGAACAUGUUUGGCUAUAUUUUCUUUUUUUUGAGACAGAGUCUUGCUCUGUCGCCAGGCUGCCAGGCUGGAGUCAGUGGUGUGAUAAUGGCUCACUGCAAUCUGUACCUCCCAGGACUAAGCCAUCUUCCUGCCUCAAACCUCCCUUAUCCCCAGUAGCUGGGACUACAGGCAUGCGCUGUUACCCCUGGCUAACUUUCUGUAUUUUCUGUAGAGGUGGGGUUUUGUCAUGUUGCCCAGGCUGAUCUUGAACUCCUGGGGUCAAGCCAUCAGUGCAGCUUGGCCUCCCAAAGUGCUGGGAUUACAGGUGUGAGCCACUGCACCCUGCCUGCUUUAGAGUAUUAGUUGGUAACUAUCAAAUCUUGAUUACAUAUAUUCCAAUGAAAAUAAUUAUUUUAAAGUGACUUUUGACUUGGAUCCCCAAAAUACUUGUACAUCUGUCAUUUUACAAUAAAUCUGAGAUGUAGGCAAGCCAGAAAUUAUUCCUACUUAAAAUAUGAAAAAUAAUCAAGAAAUCAAGAAUUUUAGAUUGCAUAUUAAGUUAGCAGAAGAUAAGUUACACAUAAAGUACUUUCAACUCUGUCCCAAUUAUUUGGUUAAUUUUAAAAGUCACUUUCCUUUUGCCCUGUAUACAUUAGUGUAAUUGUGACAUCCUGAAGCCCAAUGAAUGGCAUUGUGACACAACAUGGAACCACCUGUACCCACUUUUACAUUGAUCAUCUUCACCUUCUGAGCUAACUCACUGUCCUUUGCUGUAACAGACAGCUAACCAUAGUUCACUGCUUUCCUGUCAUUAAAACACUGUAAUCUUCUUUGCGUAGUUCUUUAGGUCUUCAUCCUUUCUCAGCAUGACUUUUUACAGUGGCCAACAGGUUCUCAAGUAUCCCCAAUAUGUUGACUUCCACUUGGGAGAGAAUUCCAAAGUAGUGAUCUCUCCAGGCUUGUCAUGCUAAUUCCCUGCUCAAGAGCUUAUAAAAGUCCCAACCAGCAAAAUUUUUACUCUUCUGCUAAGUUUUUAAUGCUCCCACAGUUGGUCUCACCUCAUCUAUUUAACUUUAUUUCUCUUCCCUCUAACAAGAAUUAAUCUUUCCUAAAAAGACUGCCUUCCUUACACCAGUCUCACUUCUCUUUUCAUAGUAGCACUUAGAACUUACUAUAUUUUUGCUCAUUAAUCCUUUAAUGCUACUGAGAACCAAGCCCAGAGAUCAAGACAACAUACCAGGCCAUGGUAGUGCCAAUAUUCAAACCUAGGUCUGUGUAGCACUGAAGCCAGUGCUCUUAGCCAUUGUACCAACUAUAUUAGUAAUUCAAUUACAUUAAAAUGGGCAAAUGACCCACAACUGUAUGCUUAGAUUUCUUAAAAGAAAACAUCUAAAUGCUGUUUACAAGAGACUCAUCUAAAAUAUAUGGAUACAAAAAGAUGAAAAGUUACAGGAUGGAAUCAUAUACAUACUCACAAAGCUAGUGUAGUUAAACUUUAAAACAAAACAAUUAUUAGAAACAAAGAGGGAUACUUGAUAAUUAUAAGAG
ensembl:lncRNA